GAAACAGAGAUUCUGGGUUACUAGCAAGUGACAGCGUGAGCCCAGGAGGAGCUGGAGAGAGUGGCAAGCUUGAGUGACAGCCCCAUGCCUGCCCGCUGUACCAAGCCCAGUGUACAAUACCUUGCUCUUCUAAGAUCCCGUUAGGCAUUUUCUUGUCGUUGCUGCUGACCACGGCCUUCCUCUGCUUCCGGAACCUUAAAGGCACACACAAGAUGUGUUAGGUCUCAGCACCGCGGGAACCCCCAAGCCCUGAGUGUGGUGAUACCCACCAGGUGAGCCGGGAAAAGUUCUUUCUGCUGCUCAUGGCUGAGCUGUGUGGCAGCUCAGGCCUGGCCAGCCGCUGUCUGAGCUGUUUGGGCCCACACCCCCAGCCUCCAGCACACUCAUUUCCUCAUAGGAGCUGGUGAGAGCACGUCAGCGCCUGGGGACACUCCUACCUGAAGAAGUAGGCUGCAAGCAGGAACAGGAGGAGGAGCAGGGGCAGCAGCAGCCAGGGUGCCCUCCUAUCACCACAAAGCUCCCAGCCAAAAGGCCCCAUCAAAAGCCUGCUUCUCCAGUGAAUGAGUGUGGCUCCUGUGAACUGGUCCAGAGGAGCUAUGAUCUGCAGCUGGUGAGCACAUGCUAUCAGGAGUGAGCCGGUCUCCCAUGGGAGGCCCUGGAGGGAAGGAAAACAGAUGAACUGAUUAUAAAGAAUAAUCUGCUUGACGAUAUAUCCCAACACAAAUGCUAUGUAUGAAGCGACUGGGUGGAACACACACCUCUCUCAUUGCUCCUGGAGAGCUGCCACACUAGGUAAGCCUCUUCAUCCUGUGUCCUGGCUGCUUGCCGUCCUACACUUUGGACUGGCCCAGAUUGUAUGGGUAUAUGAGGCUAUUUCCCACUUUGCUGUUCCCAGUACUUCUACAUUAAAAAAAAAGUGAUAUUCCUA
rnacentral:lncRNA from 1 species